rnacentral:rRNA from 1 species
ACGGGUGAGUAACACGUGGGUAACCUGCCUGUAAGACUGGGAUAACUCCGGGAAACCGGGGCUAAUACCGGAUAACACCUACCCCCGCAUGGGGGAAGGUUGAAAGGUGGCUUCGGCUAUCACUUACAGAUGGACCCGCGGCGCAUUAGCUAGUUGGUGAGGUAAUGGCUCACCAAGGCGACGAUGCGUAGCCGACCUGAGAGGGUGAUCGGCCACACUGGGACUGAGACACGGCCCAGACUCCUACGGGAGGCAGCAGUAGGGAAUCUUCCGCAAUGGACGAAAGUCUGACGGAGCAACGCCGCGUGAGUGAAGAAGGUUUUCGGAUCGUAAAACUCUGUUGUUAGGGAAGAACAAGUGCCGUUCGAAUAGGGCGGCGCCUUGACGGUACCUAACCAGAAAGCCACGGCUAACUACGUGCCAGCAGCCGCGGUAAUACGUAGGUGGCAAGCGUUGUCCGGAAUUAUUGGGCGUAAAGCGCGCGCAGGUGGUUUCUUAAGUCUGAUGUGAAAGCCCACGGCUCAACCGUGGAGGGUCAUUGGAAACUGGGGAACUUGAGUGCAGAAGAGGAAAGUGGAAUUCC